rnacentral:rRNA from 1 species
UACGUAGGGUGCGAGCGUUGUCCGGAAUUAUUGGGCGUAAAGGGCUCGUAGGCGGUUUGUCGCGUCGGGAGUGAAAACAUCGGGCUUAACUCGAUGCUUGCUUUCGAUACGGGCAGACUUGAGGUAUGCAGGGGAGAAUGGAAUUCCUGGUGUAGCGGUGAAAUGCGCAGAUAUCAGGAGGAACACCGGUGGCGAAGGCGGUUCUCUGGGCAUUACCUGACGCUGAGGCGCGAAAGCUAGGGGAGCAAACAGG